rnacentral:lncRNA from 1 species
UGGGGAUAGUGGAUCCAAUGAGGGGAUGGUGGAUCUGGUGCAGAAACGGUGGUGUAGGGACUGGGCCAUGGGGAUAGGGGCUCCGACAGGCUUUCGACAACACAGCGGGAGAACAACGGGAGAGGAGAAGGUGCGGGGAUGGUGAAUCCAGCACGGGGGAUAGUAGAUCCAAUGCGGGGACUGGGGUGCGGGGAUAAGGGCUCCGAUAGGC